rnacentral:rRNA from 1 species
GUGAGGAAUAUUGGGCAAUGGGCGAAAGCCUGACCCAGCCACGCCGCGUGAGUGAUGAAGGCCUUCGGGUUGUAAAGCUCUGUGGGGAGGGAAGAAAAAGCGGGAGAGUAACUGCUCUCGUGUUGACGGUACCUCCUUAGCAAGCACCGGCUAACUCUGUGCCAGCAGCCGCGGUAAUACAGAGGGUGCAAACGUUGCUCGGAAUUACUGGGCGUAAAGCGCGUGUAGGCUGACAUGCAAGUCGGGUGUGAAAUCCCAGGGCUCAACCUUGGAACUGCACUCGAAACUGCACGUCUUGAGUACUGGAGAGGGAAGCGGAAUUCCGGGUGUAGAGGUGAAAUUCGUAGAUAUCCGGAGGAACACCAGUGGCGAAGGCGGCUUCCUGGACAGUAACUGACGCUGAGACGCGAAAGCGUGGGGAGCAAACAGGAUUAGAAACCCUAGUAGUCC